CCUACGCGAGGCUGCAGUGGGGAAUAUUGCACAAUGGGGGAAACCCUGAUGCAGCGACGCCGCGUGAGUGAAGAAGUAAUUCGUUCCGUAAAGCUCUAUCAGCAGGGAAGACAUACUGACCUUACGGUCAGCAGACGGUACCUGAGUAAGAAGCCCCGGCUAACUACGUGCCAGCAGCCGCGGUAAUACGUAGGGGGCACGCGUUAUCCGGAUUUACUGGGUGUAAAGGGAGCGUAGACGGUGCUCCAAGUCUGGAGUGAAAUGCCGCGGCUUAACUGCGGACCUGCUUUGGAAACUGGCGAACUAGAGUGCGGGAGAGGUAAGCGGAAGUCCUGGUGUAGCGGUGAAAUGCGUAGAUAUUAGGAGGAACACCGGUGGCGAAGGCGGCUUACUGGACCGUAACUGACGUUGAGGCUCGAAAGCGUGGGGAGCAAACAGGAUGAGAUACCCGGGUAGUC
rnacentral:rRNA from 1 species